CUUUUAUCAAAAUGAAAACAAACUUUUUCUUUGCUAAUUUUUUGUUUUAAUCCUGGGAAAGUGGAGCCAGCUUAAAAUUCUAGAUUAUUCUGAUGAAGUUGGAGGCUGGUUGGGGGCUUAUAGGAAAAUACUAAUACUACAGACUAAGGUUAUAAAUAGUAGACAUGAACUGGAAAUCUAGACUAGACAAUUGGCCAGUCGCUCCGCACUCCACUGGGAUUCUCGAGUUCUCAUCUGAUGAUUGGCCAACGUAUGCGA